rnacentral:lncRNA from 1 species
UGACCUCACGGGUCCCUUGCCUUGACAGUACAAUAUAUUCUUGCCUUCCCAAAACACCCACGCACCCUUAACUAACUAUGGAAUAAAAUUACUAAUACCAACAAAACAAUAAUUGAAAACAGAACAAUAUUCGUUAUUUUCAUAUCUCAAGCAUUCUCGAACAUUCUUCAAAUGACAAAGUCUUUAAGCCAUCUUGGUUUCUUUCUCGCACGAGCUGGACCUGUCCUAGGCUGCUCUCUAGCUUGAGUCUUUGUUAUGCAAGACAGAGCAAUAUAUCGUAACUUGCUCAAGAAAAGAAUCAACCAAGACUUAAACAUAAGAAGAAAGAAAACAAGAACAUCAAGAACAGUUGAACACCAAAGAAAUAACGUGGUUCAGUUCUACAGAGGAACCUACAUCCACGGUUGUAAGAAUGCCAGCUAGGGCAGAAGCUUUAUUGACUAUAAUGGCUUAUUACAAAAGAACACUUCCACUGCAGAUUAAAACCUCUCUCUUUUCCGAUUAGCGUUUCCUUUUUGUAAUGCUCAAGUGUUUUCCUCUUUCUGAAACUAGUUUAGAGACAGCUUAUAUAUGUAUCCUUCUCACAUGUGUAUCCACUUUCACGAAUCAGUCUGUUAUUACUAACUGCUCUCUCGUUUGGAUCCCACUUAUGCCAGCUUACCAGCCACCUCAGCAAACACAUAACAGAAUAUAACUAACUAAGGCUUUACAAAUCUCCACCUUAGCUUUAUUCUGUUUAUGCUUCCCCCUACACUGAAUCAACAACUGUAAACUUGAAUUACAAGUUAACACUUCCAAUCAAGUUCAGUAAGUUCCUGAACCUGACUGAUGGCAGUGGCUUGGUUAACAUGUCAGCUGGGUUGACCUCAGAAGGAACCUUGACCACACUCACCACUCCUUUGCCAAUUUCAUCCCUUAUGAAGUGCGUUCUAAUAUCAAUAUGUUUAGUUCUCUCAUGAUACUUAGGGUUUUUACUUAACUGAAUAUCACUUGAGCUAUCACAACUAACUUUAACAACUUCUUGUUUAAACCCCAAUUCAGAGACCAACCCUCUCAACCAUAUUGCCUCUUUAACAGCUUCUGUGAGUGCAAUAUACUCAGCUUCUGUCGUUGAGAGAGCAACCGCUGAUUGUAGAGAGGACUUCCAACUUAUAGCACCUCCACACAUAGUAAACACAAACCCUGUUAUAGACCUUCUUCUAUCAUUAUCUGUUGCAGAGUCAGAAUCCACAAACCCAACAACUUCAGGUGAUGCUCCACUUAUUUUUCCAAACACAAUGGCAGUGACAACAGUCCCUCGAAGGUACCUCAGUACCCAUUUCACUGCAUUCCAAUGAUCUUUACCAGGGUUCCCCAUAAAUCUACUGAUGACACCAACUCUAUGUGCCAAGUCAGGUCUGGUGCACACCAUGGUAUACAUGAUGCUGCCAAUUGCACUAGAGUAUGGUAUUUUCCUCAUAUAGUUAAGAUCAUCAUCAGUUGUAGGUUCCAGAGAUUUAGAUAACUAGAAGUGAGCUGACAGGGGUGUUGUAACAGGUUUUGAAUCUUCCAUAUUGAACCUGGUUAACACUUUUUUCACACAAUCAGCUUGAGACAGAUACAAAGUCUUAGAGUUUCUAUCCCUUAUUAUCUGUAUGCCCAGAAUUUUUGUAGUUGCACCCAAAUCCUUCAUUUCAAAUUCAGUGCUUAGUUCACCCUUGAGCUUCUUUAUUUCUUCUUUUUGCUUACAUGCAAUAAGCAUGUUGUUGAGUGUUAGAAAAUGUAUAUUUAUAAAGGAGAAAAUCGUCAUUUUACAUUUCACGUCUUACUAACAACCCUUACUUUUAUGUAUUUAAGCUUCUUGUAAUUUAAUUAUGUGUGUUUCAUUUUAAUUAAGUAUUUUAUGUAUUUUAGGGGCAUCAUGGUCAUUUCACAAUAAACGAGAGAUCGGACGGUAAAACGGACAUCACUUUUGAACUCAGGACGGUUAAAAACCUUAGGAGGAGCAUAAAAGGAAAAAUGGCACUGUUCACAUGUACGGUACUAUUCACGUGUACGGUACUGUCUACGUUACUGGUCACGACACUGUUCACAUAGACGGAUCGAUGACGUGGCAUUGACCGACGAUGUGGCAUUAACUGAUGAGGUGUCACAAUCCUGUUGGACUAAAAUUCUUAUGUACUGUUGAUGGUGACGUGGCAGCAUAUCAGUGGACCAAAAAUCUUGCGUACGGUACAUGCAUUACACAGGAUUAUUUUCAACCAAACUGCGUCACUGUUCAACCCGGGUCAAACCGUGUUACUGUUCACCCACGUGGUCAAACCGCGUACUGUUGACUGAUGACGUGGCUCAAUCAUGAGCGUCCAAACUGUUUUUAAUCCGAUGACCAUGAUUUACUUAAUGUAUCUAUAAAAAAAGGGCAUCCCCCCCUAAUUUGAUAGCUCUGAAUCCAUUUUCUGUAAUUCAUUCUCUAUCUUGUAUUUUCUACGUAUUUUAAUAAAUUCUCAUUUUGCCCAUAGUUCAAUUACGAGUAGCUAAUUUUCUUUCAAGCUUGGGUUGAAGGUGAAGUCUCAACAUGUGUCAUGGGCUUUAUUUGGUAAAUUUAUUUUCUUUUCCCCUCUAAUUUUUGUGGAUGAUUUGACUUUUCGUCGACAAAUAAUAAUAAUCUUGUCUAGAUACCGCCCUGGUUACACCGGCUCCCUAGUACAAGGUUAUUAUUAUUUGGCAUGAUAAGCCCUUAGCACCAUAUUGAUUAGAGUGUGGUUCAUGAGGUGUGGAUUCUCCCCUCAUGAUUUAAUUGGCAUUAAUAAGGAAAAUUUAGCCCAUGGUGCAUGUUGAUACGGAUCCAGAUACCCAAGUAUGUCAUUUCAAUAGAUUUCUAUUCAAUUUAUUCUCGCCAUUUCAAUUCCAAUUUUAGGAUAAUCUACGUCACUUUCACUAAAAAUCCAAUCACCCAUUUACAAAAUUAAUUCUACACACAAUUAAAAUCCACCUCCUCGUGGGAUCGACACUCGUCACCAUUAAUCCAUUAAUCUAUUCUACAAUAGAUUCGUGCGCUUGCGAGUUCAAUAAAAUUUACACAGCACAUGUUAUCAACAUAGAGAAGUAAGUAGAUGCCAACCCCACUUGAUAGGAAUUUGUAAUACACACAAUUAUUAAAUUUGCUUCUGCAGUAUCCAUGGCUUAUCAUGAACUCAUCAAACUUCAAAUACCAUUGCAUUGGAGAUUGUUUGAGCCCAUACAAACUCUUUUUCAAUAAGUACACCUUGUCCUCAGAUCCUCUCUCAAUGAACCAUUCUGGCUGUGCCAUGAAAAUUUCUCCAUCAAGACUGCCAUGUAAGAAAGCAAUUUUAACAUCCAUCUGCUCUAGCUCCAGGUCAAAAUACGCAGAGAGGGCCAACAACAACCUAAUGGAGUUGUAUUUGACUACAGGUGAGAACACUUCAUUGAAGUCAACUUAUUCUCUUUGUGUGAAUCCCUUUGCCACAAGUCUGGCCUUAUGCCUUGGUGGUUCCUUCUUUGAAGCUCCAGCCUUCAGUUUAAAGAUCCACUUGCUGCCAACUAAUUUUUUGUUAGGAGGCUUUUCAACUAAGAUCCAGGUGUUAUUCUUCUUUAGUGAGGUUAUUUCAUCCUGCAUUGCAGCAUACCAUUUCAGCUUAUCACCACAACACAUAACUUCUUUAUAACUCAAAGGCUCUCCACCAUUUACUUCAUCAGCUACUGUUAGUGUAUAGGAAAUAAGGUCAGCUAUGCCAUAUCUCCUUGGCAUUUUGAUAGCUCUUCUCUCCCUAUCUCUGGCAAGUUGGUAUGUCUUUAAUUAUGAUGAUUUCCUCCCUUCUUUGAAUAGUUCUGGAGGCUCAUCAGAAGUCUUGCAACUAUCAGAGUGCUCCACCUUCUGUCCAACACUUUCAGCUUCCUCUAAUUCUGAGGCUUCAAUAUCAGUUUCUACCUUUGACUGAAGCAUUUAUUCUUCAUCAAAGGUUACAUCUCUACUGACAAGUAUUCUAGAUGGUUUGCGAUUGAGAGUCCAUAUUUUGUAUCCCUUAAUGCCCUCUGGAUAACCCAAAAAAUACCCUUUGACAGCCCUUGGUUCAAGCUUACUUUGCUUUAUGUGAGCAUAAGCUGGGCACCCAAAAAUCCUCAGAUUACUCAAGUCUGGUGGCUUUCCUGACCAAAUUUCUUGUGGUGUCUUGAAGCCUAAGGCUGUGGAUGGACUUCUGUUUAUCAAGUAGGUAGCUGUAGUGACUGCAUCAGCCCAAAAACCUUUAGAUAAACUUACAUUCAGUAGCAUACAUCUUACCCUCUCUAUUAAGGUUCUGUUCAUCCUUUCUGCUAGCCCAUUUUGCUGUGGGGUAUAGGUUACAGUUCUAUGCCUUGCUAUGCCCUUUGAUUUGCAGAAAUCUUCAAACUUUUUACUGCAAUACUCCAACCCAUUAUCUGUCUGUAGCCUUUUUAUUUUCUUAUAAGUUUGAUGCUUAAUCAGAGUAAUCCACUCUUUAAACUUCUUUAGUGCUUCAUUUUUGUGUUUUAACACAAAAAUCCAAACCUUCCUAGAGAAGUUAUCUAUAAAGGACACAAAGUACCUAGCUCCACCUAAAGAUGGAACUUGUGUGGCCGCCAAAGAUCUGAGUGAAUGUAAUAUAAGGUUUGCUUGGUUUCUUUCCUCUCCAUACUGAAUUUCAGUCUUGUAGCUUUGCCAAAUACACAUUUCUCACAAAAUUUUAAGGAAGAAAUUUUUUCAUUACCAAAUAAGCCCUGAUUGCUUAACUCUCUGAGACCUCUCUCACUGAUAUGGGCUAGUCUCAUGUGCCAGAGCUUAGUUUUGUCUCUGGUCACACUUACAGAAACCCCAUGCUCAGGUGAGGAUCCAACAAGUAUAUAUAGCCCAUUUUUCCUAACCCCCUUUAUAACAGUUUCACCCUUAUCUGUGACAUGCAUUUCUCCAUUUUCAGCCUUAAUAGUACACCCUAAUUGAUCAACCACUCCUAGGGAUAUUAGAUUUCUUUUUAGUUCAGGGACAUAUCUCACAUGGUGCAAAUCUCUAGUGAUACCAUCAUGCAUUUUUAAGCUAAUGGUUCCUAUUUCAGCCACCUUGAAAGCCAAAUUAUUUCCUAACAGUACAUUCCCUCCAUUUACACUUUCAAAGGUCUUAAAGAAACUCUUAUUUGGACACAUAUGGAAAGAACAACCUGAAUCUAAUAUUUACUCACCAGUUGGAUGCCUCUCUGCAGCCACCAGAACAUCUGCUUCAUCAUAGUCACCUUCAUCCUCAAAGGCUACAUCAGCCUUCCCAUUUGACUUCUUUUGUAAUUCUUCUAGUUUCUUUUUCUCAAAAUAAUCCUUGAUGUAGUGCCCCUCUUUUUGGCAGAAGUAACACUUCCUCUUCUUCUUCUUUUUCUCAGCUUUAUCUUUAUGGCUAUUGUUUUUCUUCUGCUUAUUAUUUUUCUUUUUUGGCUUUCCUUUGGCAACUAAACCUUCUGCAUUGCUUUAAUCUCUUACUUCUGCCCUUUUCUUCAAAUCCUUAGAUUCCAGAGCAUUUUUGACAUCUUUCAACGUGAGAGUUUGUCUUCCAUAGAGGAGAGUAUCUACAAAGUGUUCAUAAGACUCUGGAAGUGAACUAAGUAAAAUGAGUGCCAUGUCUUCAUCUUCAAGAAUUAUGUUAACAUUCUCAAGAUCAAGAAUGAGUUUAUUAAACUCAUCCACAUGAUCUUUCAUGGUUACACCAUCUUUCAUCGAGAAUGUGUAUAAUCUCCUCUUCAUGUACAACCUCUUUGUUAAUGAUUUCUUCAGAAACAUUUCUUUAAGCUUGGCCCACAACCCAGAUGCAGUUCUUUCUUUGGAUACAUCUCUCAAGACUUCAUCGGAGAGAUAUAAGAUAAUCGUGCUAUGGGCCUUGUUGUUUAUGGUCAUCUGGUCUCCACCAAAACUUGAAGAACCUUCUCCCUUCUCUUUUUUGGCCAUAGGAUCUUCUUCAUCAUCGAGGGCACUGUUAAGCCCUUGCUGAAUUAGAAUUGCUGUCAUAUUUAAACUCCAGAGAUAAAAGUCAUUAUCUCCAUUAAACGUUUCAAGAUCAACUCUGGUGCUUGCCAUUUUCGAAUUCGAUCCCAAUCAACACCUUGCUCUGAUACCAGUUUGUUAUAGAAGACAGAGCAAUAUAUCGUAACUUGCUCAAGAAAAGAAUCAACUAAGACUUAAACACAAGAAGAAGAAAAAACAGGAACAUCAAGAACAGUUGAACACCAAAAAAAUAACGUGGUUCAGUUCCACAAAGGAACCUACAUCCACGGCUAUAGGAAUGCCAGCUAGGGCAGAAGCUUUUAUUGACUAUAAUGGCUUAUUACAAAAGAACACUUCCACUGCAGAUUAAAACCUCUCUAUUUUCCAAUUAGCGUUUCUUCUCUGUAAUGCUUAAGUGUUUUCCUCUAUUUCUGAAACUAGUUUAGAGACAACUUAUAUAUGUAUGCUUCUCACGUGUGUAUCCACUUUAACGAAUCAGUCUGUUAUUACUAACUGCUCUCUCGUUUGGAUCCCACUUAUGCCAGCUCACCAGCCACCUUAGUAAGCCCAUAAUAGAAUAUAAUUAACUAUGGCUUCACAGUCUUAUUCAAGGGUUGAGCUUCUUCCAUUUCUGUAGGUUGGAUCUCUUCCUUUGCUGUCUCAUUAAGCUCGAUCUUAUUCACAACAAUGGGCCAAGUUGUAUCAGAG